rnacentral:rRNA from 1 species
UACGGAGGGGGCGAGCGUUAUUCGGAAUUAUUGGGCGUAAAGGGCGCGUAGGCGGCACGAUAAGUCAAAGGUGAAAUCCCUCGGCUCAACUGAGGAACUGCCUUUGAAACUGUCGAGCUUGAGUCCGGGAGGGGGUAGCGGAAUUCCCAGUGUAGCGGUGAAAUGCGUAGAUAUUGGGAGGAACACCAGUGGCGAAGGCGGCUACCUGGACCGGAACUGACGCUGAGGCGCGAAAGCCAGGGGAGCGAACGGG